UACGGAGGGAGCUAGCGUUGUUCGGAAUUACUGGGCGUAAAGCGCACGUAGGCGCUAUUCAAGUCGGGGGUGAAAGCCCGGGGCUCAACCCCGGAACUGCCCUCGAAACUAGAUAGCUAGAAUCUUGGAGAGGCGAGUGGAAUUCCGAGUGUAGAGGUGAAAUUCGUAGAUAUUCGGAAGAACACCAGUGGCGAAGGCGGCUCACUGGCCCGGUACUGACGCUGAGGUGCGAAAGCGUGGGGAGCAAACAGG
rnacentral:rRNA from 1 species